rnacentral:rRNA from 1 species
GACGAACGCUGGUUGCGUGCUUAACACAUGCAAGUCGAACGGAAAGGCCCUGCUUUUGUGGGGUGCUCGAGUGGCGAACGGGUGAGUAACACGUGAGUAACCUGCCCUUGACUUUGGGAUAACUUCAGGAAACUGGGGCUAAUACCGGAUAGGAGCUCCUGCUGCAUGGUGGGGGUUGGAAAGUUUCGGCGGUUGGGGAUGGACUCGCGGCUUAUCAGCUUGUUGGUGGGGUAGUGGCUUACCAAGGCUUUGACGGGUAGCCGGCCUGAGAGGGUGACCGGCCACAUUGGGACUGAGAUACGGCCCAGACUCCUACGGGAGGCAGCAGUGGGGAAUAUUGCACAAUGGGCGGAAGCCUGAUGCAGCAACGCCGCGUGCGGGAUGACGGCCUUCGGGUUGCAAACCGCUUUCGCCUGUGACGAAGCGUGAGUGACGGUAAUGGGUAAAGAAGCACCGGCUAACUACGUGCCAGCAGCCGCGGUGAUACGUAGGGUGCGAGCGUUGUCCGGAUUUAUUGGGCGUAAAGGGCUCGUAGGUGGUUGAUCGCGUCGGAAGUGUAAUCUUGGGGCUUAACCCUGAGCGUGCUUUCGAUACGGGUUGACUUGAGGAAGGUAGGGGAGAAUGGAAUUCCUGGUGGAGCGGUGGAAUGCGCAGAUAUCAGGAGGAACACCAGUGGCGAAGGCGGUUCUCUGGGCCUUUCCUGACGCUGAGGAGCGAAAGCGUGGGGAGCGAACAGGCUUAGAUACCCCGGUAGUCCACGCUGUAAACGGUGGGUACUAGGUGUGGGGUCCAUUCCACGGGUUCCGUGCCGUAGCUAACGCUUUAAGUACCCCGCCUGGGGAGUACGGCCGCAAGGCUAAAACUCAAAGGAAUUGACGGGGCCCCGCACAAGCGGCGGAGCAUGCGGAUUAAUUCGAUGCAACGCGUAGAACCUUACCUGGGUUUGACAUGGAUCGGGAGUGCUCAGAGAUGGGUGUGCCUCUUUUGGGGUCGGUUCACAGGUGGUGCAUGGCUGCCGUCAGCUCGUGUCGUGAGAUGUUGGGUUAAGUCCCGCAACGAGCGCAACCCUUGUUCACUGUUGCCAGCACGUUAUGGUGGGGACUCAGUGGAGACCGCCGGGGUCAACUCGGAGGAAGGUGGGGAUGACGUCAAGUCAUCAUGCCCCUUAUGUCCAGGGCUUCACGCAUGCUACAAUGGCUGGUACAGAGAGUGGCGAGCCUGUGAGGGUGAGCGAAUCUCGGAAAGCCGGUCUCAGUUCGGAUUGGGGUCUGCAACUCGACCUCAUGAAGUCGGAGUCGCUAGUAAUCGCAGAUCAGCAACGCUGCGGUGAAUACGUUCCCGGGGCU